rnacentral:rRNA from 1 species
GACGAACGCUGGCGGCGUGCUUAACACAUGCAAGUCGAACGGAAAGGCCCUGCUUUUGUGGGGUGCUCGAGUGGCGAACGGGUGAGUAACACGUGAGUAACCUGCCCUUGACUUUGGGAUAACUUCAGGAAACUGGGGCUAAUACCGGAUAGGAGCUCCUGCUGCAUGGUGGGGGUUGGAAAGUUUCGGCGGUUGGGGAUGGACUCGCGGCUUAUCAGCUUGUUGGUGGGGUAGUGGCUUACCAAGGCUUUGACGGGUAGCCGGCCUGAGAGGGUGACCGGCCACAUUGGGACUGAGAUACGGCCCAGACUCCUACGGGAGGCAGCAGUGGGGAAUAUUGCACAAUGGGCGGAAGCCUGAUGCAACAACGCCGCGUGCGGGAUGACGGCCUUCGGGUUGUAAACCGCUUUCGCCUGUGACGAAGCGUGAGUGACGGUAAUGGGUAAAGAAGCACCGGCUAACUACGUGCCAGCAGCCGCGGUGAUACGUAGGGUGCGAGCGUUGUCCGGAUUUAUUGGGCGUAAAGGGCUCGUAGGUGGUUGAUCGCGUCGGAAGUGUAAUCUUGGGGCUUAACCCUGAGCGUGCUUUCGAUACGGGUUGACUUGAGGAAGGUAGGGGAGAAUGGAAUUCCUGGUGGAGCGGUGGAAUGCGCAGAUAUCAGGAGGAACACCAGUGGCGAAGGCGGUUCUCUGGGCCUUUCCUGACGCUGAGGAGCGAAAGCGUGGGGAGCGAACAGGCUUAGAUACCCUGGUAGUCCACGCUGUAAACGGUGGGUACUAGGUGUGGGGUCCAUUCCACGGGUUCCGUGCCGUAGCUAACGCUUUAAGUACCCCGCCUGGGGAGUACGGCCGCAAGGCUAAAACUCAAAGGAAUUGACGGGGCCCCGCACAAGCGGCGGAGCAUGCGGAUUAAUUCGAUGCAACGCGUAGAACCUUACCUGGGUUUGACAUGGAUCGGGAGCGCUCAGAGAUGGGUGUGCCUCUUUUGGGGUCGGUUCACAGGUGGUGCAUGGCUGUCGUCAGCUCGUGUCGUGAGAUGUUGGGUUAAGUCCCGCAACGAGCGCAACCCUUGUUCACUGUUGCCAGCACGUUAUGGUGGGGACUCAGUGGAGACCGCCGGGGUCAACUCGGAGGAAGGUGGGGAUGACGUCAAGUCAUCAUGCCCCUUAUGUCCAGGGCUUCACGCAUGCUACAAUGGCUGGUACAGAGAGUGGCGAGCCUGUGAGGGUGAGCGAAUCUCGGAAAGCCGGUCUCAGUUCGGAUUGGGGUCUGCAACUCGACCUCAUGAAGUCGGAGUCGCUAGUAAUCGCAGAUCAGCAACGCUGCGGUGAAUACGUUCCCGGG